GCCUAUCCCAUAGAAGCUACAGUCACUAUAACUUUAAGAGCUGAGCAGAAUGUUGAAGAAAGCUGUUGGGCUGGCAGUUUAGUGUCAGUUGAAAAAUUCUGAUUAUGAAGUUCUUCUCCCUAUGGAGUCAAAGAGAAACGGUCUAUUUUGUCUAUGAUCUAGAGGCUCUAUGAGCAAUUUGAGAAAAAUAUGGAGAAGAAGGCAAUGUGAAACUUCUUCCUCGUCAGAACUGUUAUGAAGGGAGUGGAGUCUCAGGUCUCGUGAGUUUCAAAGGUUGGCAGAGUGGACCCCGGCGAUGGGAGUCAGAAUUCAGGCCAGGUUUUGCUGCUGGAGCCUCAUCGAUUCUGCCAAAGAACAAAGAGCCUUCCUUAAGGAGGGAUCUUCAAAACCCCAGCUGAGCAGAAAGACUCUUCCUCGUCACGCGGUGUCCAAACAUGGACUUGGUGGGACAAAUGCUAUGUAGGAACUGAGUUAAGUUUUGAGCCUCCUUCUUCAGAGACUGAGGUGGUAUAGGGGAAGAAAAUGGCAUCAUUAAUGGGGCUGUGUAAUUACAGCCAUGGAGUUUGGCCCAGAAGGAGAAACGAGAAGGUUCCUCUCCCUCCCUUCUUGUAGAGGUUUGGGAGAAGUGUUUCUACAUUUAUUCUUGCUGUACCUUUGAAGUAACUAUCUUUUUGUAAAAGCUUUUUGAUGUCAACUGCUUCAAUGGAACCGGAAUCCCCUUCACUGGUCUCUAAAUGAAGAGGGUACAGAGGAGGGAAAGUGGGAGCUCAGAUUGGGGGCAGCCAUAGUAAGGGUCCCCGCAGAGUUAGGGAGCCAUAGGCGGCUUGGCUGGGAGAGUGGGCCAGAAUGCCCCUGCUCUACGGGGGUGGGGGGGUAUUUCCAGGGGGCCUCAGGUUGGUUAUCCGACCCAGCACUGAUGGUUUGGGCUUGCUAGUCAUAGGUCGCAAGCUUAGCCUGGCUGGCUUUGCAAGGUCUAUAAAAUUGUGAUCCCAGGGAGAACUAGAACACUUCCACCUUUGGGAGGCUUAAGCUUAUUUCCCCAGAGCGCAUCCCUAUGAUAUGUACCAGGGCAUUAGUUCUGGGAGGAACCCAUGAUCUAGGGGAGGACGUUAUCUCCUUAGUCAAGAUGAGCUUUUAUUUAUUUUUGAGCCACAAAGUCCAUUUACUGCUUCGUAUUCUGUUGUCCCCAUUGUGCGACUUCCCUGUCUGGCUGGCUACUUGUGAUUGUCUUUUUGUGUACUAAGUUUUGGAUUAGACCAGCCUGGAGGAGACAUAGUAGAGGGGAGAGUGAUGGAGAAAGAGUGGCUCACUCCACAGCAGCAGCAGUGAUGCUUUUUGAGGU